AUUGAACGCUGGCGGCAGGCCUAACACAUGCAAGUCGAGCGAGCGGCGGACGGGUGAGUAUUGUAUGUGAAACUGCCUGAUGGAGGGGGGGAACUACUCGAAACGGUAGCUAAUACCGCAUACCAUCACGUGUGCCCAGAUGGGGUUAGCUAGUCGGUGGGGUAACGGCUCACCUAGGCGACGAUCCCUAGCUGGGCUGGGAGGAUGACCAGCCACACUGGAACUGAGACACGGUCCAGACUCCUACGGGAGGCAGCAGUGGGGAAUAUUGCACAAUGGGCGCAAGCCUGAUGCAGCCAUGCCGCGUGUGUGAAGAAGGCCUUCGGGUUGUAAAGCACUUUCAGCGGGGAGGCGUUACCCGCAGAAGAAGCACCGGCUAACUCCGUGCCAGCCGCCGCGGUAAUAC
rnacentral:rRNA from 1 species